UGAGGAAUAUUGGUCAAUGGACGAGAGUCUGAACCAGCCAAGUAGCGUGAAGGAUGAAGGUUCUAUGGAUUGUAAACUUCUUUUAUACGGGAAUAAACGAAUCCACGUGUGGAUUUUUGCAUGUACCGUAUGAAUAAGGAUCGGCUAACUCCGUGCCAGCAGCCGCGGUAAUACGGAGGAUCCGAGCGUUAUCCGGAUUUAUUGGGUUUAAAGGGAGCGUAGAUGGGUUGUUAAGUCAGUUGUGAAAGUUUGCGGCUCAACCGUAAAAUUGCAAUUGAUACUGGCAGUCUUGAGUACAGUUGAGGUAGGCGGAAUUCGUGGUGUAGCGGUGAAAUGCUUAGAUAUCACGAAGAACUCCGAUUGCGAAGGCAGCUUACUAACCUGUAACUGACAUUGAUGCUCGAAAGUGUGGGUAUCAAACAGGAUUAGAUACCCUGGUAGUCCACACCGGUAAACGAUGAAUACUCGCUGUAGGCGAUAUACAGUCUGCGGCCAAGCGAAAGCAUUAAGUAUUCCACCUGGGGAGUACGCCGGCAACGGUGAAACUCAAAGGAAUUGACGGGGGCCCGCACAAGCGGAGGAACAUGUGGUUUAAUUCGAUGAUACGCGAGGAACCUUACCCGGGCUUAAAUUGCAACCGAAUAUGGCGGAAACGCUAUAGCUAGCAAUAGCGGUUGUGAAGGUGCUGCAUGGUUGUCGUCAGCUCGUGCCGUGAGGUGUCGGCUUAAGUGCCAUAACGAGCGCAACCCUUGCCGAUAGUUACUAACAGGUUAUGCUGAGGACUCUGUCGGGACUGCCAUCGUAAGAUGUGAGGAAGGUGGGGAUGACGUCAAAUCAGCACGGCCCUUACGUCCGGGGCUACACACGUGUUACAAUGGGGGGUACAGAGGGCUGCUACCACGCAAGUGGAUGCCAAUCCCAAAAACCUCUCUCAGUUCGGAUUGAAGUCUGCAACCCGACUUCAUGAAGCUGGAUUCGCUAGUAAUCGCGCAUCAGCCACGGCGCGGUGAAUACGUUCCC
rnacentral:rRNA from 1 species